rnacentral:rRNA from 1 species
ACGAAACCCAGGGGAGCGAGCCGGAUUAGAUACCCGGCUAGUCCUGGGCGUAAAUCAUGCGGAUAAAGUGUGGCAUUAUCUACGAGAUAAUGCUGUGCCGUAGGGAAGCCGUUAAGUCCGCCGUUGGGGAGUACGGUCGCAAGGCUGAAACUUAAAGGAAUUGCCGGGGGAGCACCACAAGGGGUGGAGGCUGCGGUUUAAUUGGAUUCAACGCCGGACAACUCACCGGGGGCGACAGCAGUAUGAGGGUCAAGCUGACGACUUUGCCUGACAAGCUGAGAGGAGGUGCAUGGCCGCCGUCAGUUCGUACCGUGAGGUGUCCUGUUAAGUCAGGUAACGAACGAGACCCCUGCCCGCAGUUACCAGCAGAUGCUCAGGCAUGAUGGGGACUCUGCGGGGACCGCUUUUGCUAAAAAAGAGGAAGGAGGGGGCAACGGUAGGUCAGUAUGCCCCGAAUCUCCCGGGUACACGCGGCUACAAUGGGUGCGACAAUGAGUUCCGACCCCGAGAGGGGAAGGUAAUCCCC